CUCACAACUCACAUCUCACCAGAUCUUUUCAUCAACCUUUUCUCUCUCUCUCUCUCUCUGGCGACUCAAGCACAUGCCAACGAUUAGGAUUUUGGUAAGAACCGCCAGAAGACUCAUAAUCUUAAUCGGCUUGAAGCGCAAGCUCAAUUCUCGAGGGAGUGUUAAAGAAAUUAUAUAUCUGGAGAUGAUGCUAGAUCUGGAACAAAUAUGGGUUUGCAAAGAGAGAGCGAGCAAAUGUUAGAAAGAGGGAGAAAAUCGGUGGGUUCUGGCCGCUUGGAAUUUUUUUACUGAUAUCGAUUGUAUUUAAGAUUCAAAAAGCACUUGGAGGUAAAGGAAAUCCCCUAGCUUUUGACAUUACAGCUGCUUGUAGCCGCUUCAUGUUUUAUCCGAGGUAAUCCAUAUGGGUCAAAAUGAAGUAAGUUUGACCAUGUUGACUUUUAUUUUCAAGCGGUGGUUAUAAAACUGUACUUGUGAUUGGGGCAGAUUCGCUAUCUCGUAAUGUUGACUGGAUUGAUAGAGGGACAUGCAUUCUUUUUGGUGAUGCUGCUGGUGCUGUUUUUGUCCAGGCGAACCAGAAGAUCAUUGAUGGAGUAGCAACAAGACUAGAAGUCCCAAAAGAUAGAGUGAUAACAAGUUUGGCAAAUUAUGGCAGCACAAGUGCGGCUUCAAUACCCUUGGCACUAGACGAAGCUGUUAGAAGCGGGAAAGUCAAACAAGGUCAAACCAUAGCGGCUGUUGGUUUUAGUGCUGGUCUUACAUGAGGCUCUGCCAUCGUUUGGACACCACAUCCUCUUUCAGAAUCAUCACCGACAACUCAUCGUAUUCAUCUUCCAGUAAAUGCCAUCUGUACUGCUUUUUCGUCGAUAAAUCCUCGAACAAAACAGGAGAUCCUGAUGCAAAAGGAGACAAUGAUGUCACAAAAAGAAAUGAUGUGCAACCGCAAGAACAGAGGGUAAUGGAUAAGAAGAUCAAAGAGAUGAAAGACCAGCUAAGGUUUGGCCAGUUUUGUGACUUUUAUCCAAAGGUUUUUUUUUCAUAUCUAGAUCCAAAAGGUUUUAAAUCUUGCCAUUAUCACCCAGUUCGUUAACUCCAUCCAUUUUUCUUUGUUAAGUCAGGGGUAUUUUCAUCUUUUUUGCUAACUUGAAAGGGCAAUUCAGUAUUUUUCAUUUUUUGUACAAGCAAUCAAAUUACCCCUGACCGAAUCUGUUAGACAGAAUUGCCCUUUAAGUUGACGAAAAUACCCCUGAUUUAAAAGAGAAAAAUGGAUGGAGUUAACGAACCGGAUGAAAAUGGCAAGAUUUCAAAUCUUUUGGAUCCAAAUACGGAAAAACAAACCUUUGAACGGAAGUCGCAAAACUGGCCAAACCUCGGAUGAAAAUGACAUUUUACUCUGACAAAAACAAAUCAACAUAAAAGUUUAAAGAAUAACCAGCCAACUGUAUAUGUGAUUUCAGCACUCAUAAACGGCACUUUGCACUGAAAACACAAAGACAUGGUGAAAUAUUUCCUUUGAUGCAUCAUAUUGUCAUGGGAGAUGAUCUAGAAGUUAAGCAAGGCAAGCCAUCACCUGAUAUAUUUCUUGCAGCUGCUAGAAGAUUCGACGUAAAUAUAUUUCCAAAAUUGUUGUAAUUUUUUAAAAAUAAUAUAAUAAUUUGGUCGUUGCAGUAUCAAAAUGUUUUCGCCCCACUUAUUAAGCUUGAAGCCGACUAUGAUAAAAUGAUGAAAGAAUCUCAAAGUAAACACAAUCUCACAAUUCGGUGGGAUAUUGGUCUUAACAAGAAGCGCGUUGCAUAUUUUGUUGUCCCAAAAGUGCUUCAUUAUUUUUAUUAUUUACAACCACAUCAAGCCUUUUAUAUUCUAUGUAAGUUUAUUAGUUCAGUUUGAUAAAAAUCCAAGGGGCUAUUUGGUAGCAUCUGAAUGGUCAUUAAGAGGCUACCUCUUAAUGGAACCAUUAAGAAUUUUACCAAUGAGAAGGUAGAAAAAUGUUACAUGUGAUGAUUUACCAUUCAGAGGUUACCUCUUAACCAUUCAGAUUUGAGGUUACCUCUUAUUCAUUCAGAGGUUUUAAACCAUUAAGAGGUAGCAUCUGAAUGGUCAUUAAGAGGCUACCAAACAGCCCCUAAGUAUUGUUAACACCAGGAAGACAAUGAGUUACGUCUUGUACCUGGUGAUGAGUUAAGACUUAGAUACUCGGGGGACCCAGCACAUCCAGCCUGGUAGUCUGUUGGACAUGUGGUAUGUGCAAGUCAGGCAGGUAGUUGUAUAUUGGUAUUAACGUAUCAUGAUCUGUGAUAUGCUAUAACCGUUUUGUUAGGUUCAACUUAAGAAUGAUGGAAAAUUGAAGGCAUGGAAGGUUGUUGAAGGUCGUUAUUUGGGGAAGGCUGAUUGGCUGACGUUUGUUGAAGACAAUAGUGUAGGUUGGGGAUGUCUUGGUUAUUGAGAUGAUUCACAACCACAAAGAUGUUCUUUGUGUUAGCAUAUGUAGAUCUGGUUCUUAAGUUGUCUUUGAUCAAAAUUACUACUUUUUGUAUCCACUAUCAAGUAUUGUUUGAUCAAGAUUACUACUUUUGUAUACACUAUUAAGUAAUCAAAGAAGUGUUCCAUUACUAA